ACACAUUGAGAUGGUUGUGCACUACAUACGUGAUCAAGUCCUACAAAAUGAAGUAAUUAUGACAUAUGUUCCUAUUACUUACUGUCACUACGGGCUUAUAGUUGACCGAGCGGUUGAUGUGUAAGAAAGCACUUCAUGACCGCUCGAUCCCAACAAAGGCACCUCAUGACCGUUGUGUCAAGAGAUAAAUUGCAAUGUAAUGACCGAACUAUUGAUGUGCAAGAAAGCAUAUCAUGACUACUCGGUCCCAACAAUUGUUGAGCAGAAUUAAGGCACAAUUAAUGUCAUAGUGGCCACG
rnacentral:lncRNA from 1 species